GUAUAAAACGCAAAUCGGUUGGUCUGGAUUAGACUCGUCCGACUUUCUUCUCAUGCAUGCAUGCAAGUAUAUAAGGAGACCUUUGAUAGCCUUCCUCAAACAAAGACAUGGGUUUCCCUAAGCAUUGCUUCUUCUUUCUCUGGCUCUUGGUUUCUUUCCAAGCUCACUUCCCCUCCUCCAUACAUGCUCGGCCUCUUUCAGUUCAAGAUCAACACAGGUACGUGAAGGUGUUGGCCACGCUCGGAGUCAUUUGUAGGUGCUGCGAUGGUGUUGGAGGUGAAUGCAAGAGUACAUGGGACUCCACAUGCCUGAAUCUUGAUUGUAGCCCUUGGAAAUUGCAUUGAUUUCAAGUUUCGGAUGAUUACUUUUAACUAUUUGUACGAAAUUGUAUUUGAUUUUAUGUUUCGGAUGUAUUGAUUACUUUAAAAGUAUUUAUACGAGGAUUCUUUUAACAUU